ACACAUGUGGCAAACAUAUUUCUAACGGUCAGACCUAGUCCCACUGACAAAGGACAAUUUGCAGAGAUAAAAUAUUUAUAUUCUCCUUUGUAAAGUCGUUUAGGGCAAAGUUCCUGGAAUCUUCACACAUGCCAAUGCAGCUACUGUUCUGACAGGUAGACAACAUUUAGGAAAUUGUCACCUCCAGGUUAAAACUCAAGGUUAUACAUUUCCAGUGAGCUUUAGGCUGAAGAAUCAGCUGUGAAGAUACCUGACAAGGACACAACGAGAGGAACCGAAGUAUGAGUCAAGACUGUGGGAAGAUGUGCGAAUUAAAGUUGAAGCAUUCUAAAUCUCAUUUUGAAAAAUUUUCUCCUGAAGCUAGAAACGUAACAUUCAGAAGAGACACUCCAAACAAGGGGACUUGGUUGAUGCUAGCAGGAACAUUCAGCUCAGAGCCAACCGAAACUGGACAGAAAGCAGCCAAGAAAUGGCAUCUGGGGCUCGGCAGCCGAAACCUCUGGAUUUCCGCUCUCCGGGAGCCGGCGGCGAGCUCGCCGCGGCGUAAGCGCCUCUGGACCCCCGAGCCCGGGGAGGCGCUGGAGCACCCGGAGAGGGAGGAGGGAACCCGGUCUAGGCGGAGCAAAGCUCGUCGCCACGGCGACCGCCCGAGCCGCAAACAGCCCGGUGAGCGGAGCGAGAAGCAGCCCGAGCGGACGCCGGGGAGAAGCGCGGGCCGGCUGGCCCCCACCCGUGGCGUGUCCCCGCGGAGCGCCGGAGGGCAGCGCCAUGGACAAGCUGGUACUGUGCGUGCUCGCUCCGCGCGGCUCCCACGCUCACCCCGCCCCGCCCCGGCACAUGCGCGGCCUCCCAGCUGCCGGGUGCUCGCGGCUCCACGGGGUCCGCGCACGGGCGGGGUGGGCUUCGGUUGCGGGCUUCAGCUUCAGGGCGUGGGUCCUGAAAGCGCCUUCGUGAGCCUGAGGGGCUGGAGUUGCCGGGUUUUGAGUUUGGCGUGUUUUGCUCAGGAGGCCAGGGCACUCAUAAAAUACAAAAGCCUAGGUUCGGGGACCACCUCUCCCCUUUAUCUUCAAGUUGCUGCGGAAAGGCCACUAGUGGGCUGCGUCGUGGACCCAAGCAACCCUUGACCCAUAGCGAGCAUCAGAUAGGUCCAGGUGUGGCGGAGGCAGCCCUUGUGGGAAGUUGUUGGCUGUAACUAGCUCUCAUUAGCCCUUGGGUUUGGACAAAAGCCAGUGUUUAGUUUCCUUGGAGAGAGGGAGAGGGGUGAGGUGCAGAGGAAGCCCCAUUGGGCAGUUUCCUGGUGUCUUUUACUCUUGCCUGAGUGCACAGCAGGUGAGAAAGGGCCGGAAACGAACUCUGCAUUUAAAUCAGCGUUCGCUUCAUUUGGCUUUGCUCGCUCUCUUAAAUGAAUAUUGUGGAGUGGAAAAAAAAGUCCAGGUACUUGUUUUUGCAUUUAUCUCCAAAAGUGAUUCCUGCUCUUUGGAAUUCAGGGAACGUCUAGGAGAGUAAAGCUUUUUCUACAAACAAGAAACUAGGGACACGGAGGGGCUUAUGUACGCAGGAGGGCCCGGCAAGGUCCUACUCAGUUUCAAUAUAGAUUUCUGUGGUUGCAUUAUACAUUUUAUCAUUUACACUAUCUGUAACUGUAUUACAAUAGGAAUAUAUUAUGCUAAUCAAUAAAAUAUGCAUCCUGCCAUGAUUUAAUAAACAUAAUUGUAUUACUG
rnacentral:lncRNA from 1 species